GUGCACCAGUCGAGAAUUUUUCACAAUGGACGAAAGUCUGAUGGAGCGACGCCGCGUGGAGGAUGAAGGUUUUCGGAUUGUAAACUCCUGUCACUGCAGAACAAGGAUACGUCAGUUAACAGCCGACGUAUUUGAUGGUAUGCGGAGAGGAAGGGACGGCUAACUCUGUGCCAGCAGCCGCGGUAAGACAGAGGUCCCGAGCGUUGUUCGGAUUCAUUGGGCGUAAAGGGUGUGUAGGAGGUCGGGUAAGUCAGGUGUGAAAUUUCAGAGCUUAACUCUGAAACUGCGCUUGAUACUGCCCGGCUAGAGGAUCGGAGGGGGUAUCGGAAUUUAUGGUGUAGCAGUGAAAUGCGUAGAUAUCAUAAGGAACACCGGUGGCGAAGGCGGAUACCUGGAAGAUUCCUGACUCUGAAACACGAAAGCCAGGGGAGCAAACGGGAUUAGAUACCCCGGUAGU
rnacentral:rRNA from 1 species